UCAAGAAUAACUAAAAAGCCAUGGACAACCUGGCAUAAGAAGGAGAUUCCUCCAGAAAAUUUGUUUCUGGAAAGAUUUAGUAAUGCCACAGUGGAAGAGACAUUAGUUAUUGGACCAUCAAAGCGGUUGGAGCUUAAAUCUAUCACUGAAUUGCUGUCAAAAUUUGAUGACAGAUCUGGUACUUUCCCACUUAUGUUGUUGGAAGAAAGAUUCAGGAAUGUCAACCGGGAAGGCCAUGAGUCCCAAAACUCGAGAGGAAUAGUAUCUGAAAUACCAUUAUUUGCAAUAUCAAGACUGGUAAGAUUUUUCAACUCUUGAAUCCAUUUGGGGAAGUGAGGCCCUAGCUUGCAAGAGCUUAGUUGAAUAGAUUCUAUAUGAGAACGGUUUGACAUGUAAUCUGAGGAAGGAAAUCCAUGGAGUGAGCUUUCGGAAAGAUCAAGAAUUUUAAGGUUGGGCAGUUCCCACAGUUUCUUACUUAUAGUUCCUUUUAACUGAUUCUCAUAGAGGAUCAGAUGUGUUAGGGAUGUAAACUUUUGGAUGUCAUCAGGCAAUGACCCUGUAAAUUGGCUUCCUGAAGCAGACAACCGUUGUAAUGAAAGCGAUGUGCAUCCAGACAAGUUGUUGAGAAAAUCAGGAAAUUUGAUAACACCAAAGUUGUUAUAGAAGUAAAAAUGUUCCAAACUACAGAGGUUACCAAGAUAUUUGGGUAUCCCAUCUAACAUGUUUCUGGAGAGAUCAAGGAUGUGAAGCUUAUUGCUGGUCAAUGGGAACAACCAACGAUACAUGGAUGAGGUGAGACUGUUGUUUCUAAGAGAAAGGUCUACAAUAGAUGAGGAAGAAGAAGAGUUGAGAAAUGAAGAAGAAUAUGGAUACAUGACCUGUGACAGCUCACAUCCAUCUAAACUUAAAAGCCAGAGUUUCGGGAGACUGAGAAUAACAUCUACCCAAUGAUUUGUUUUGGCCAGUGAAAUCCCAUCCAUUUCAAGUACCUCCAAAUGAGAUAGAGGAGACAACCACUCAAGGUUCUCAAGUCUACACAUUCCAGCAUAUGAAAGGGAAAGCAAUUCCAAGUUGGUGAGGUUUCCCAACUCUGGAGGAAUGGUUCCAUAAAGAGAAUUAGAUGAAAGGUCAAGGUAUUUUAAUUCUGUCAAGGAACCAAUGGACCUGGGAAUGGUUCCAUUAAGAUUAUUGCCGCCAAGGUCAAGGUACCUUAAUUGAGUCAACGAACCAAUGAUCGUGGGAAUGGUUCCAUUAAGAUUAUUGCCGCCAAGGUCAAGGUACCUUAAUUGAGUCAACGAACCAAUGAUCGUGGGAAUGGUUCCAUUAAGAUUAUUAUAGCCAAGGUAAAGGGACCUUAAUCGAGUCAAGGAACCAAUGGACCUGGGAAUGGGUCCAUUAAGAUUAUUGCCGCCAAGGUCAAGGUGCCUUAAUUGAGUCAACGAACCAAUGAUUACAGGAAUGUUUCCAUGAAAAGAAUUGUAGUGAAGAUCAAGAUGAUUCAAGUAGGUUAAGUUAACCAAUGAAUGGCUAAUCUCACCUACAAGACCAAAGAGCAUCAGAUCAAGAUCUGUGACAUGACCUGUUUGGUUGUUGCACGUUACUCCACUCCAUUCACAGCAGUUGUCUUGUUCAGCUGUCCACAUAGAGAGGCGAUCAGAAGGGUCUUGAAGGAGAGAUUUGAAAUGAAGGAGAGCGUCUUUCUCCUUCUCAAAACACCUGUUCACACCGCCAUUAUCAUCUCCUCCCUCCACUGCUGCCAAUUGGUUGGCACUUGUAGUCUCAAGACAUAGCAAGAGAAGUGAGAAUAUUAUAACAACACAAGGAUGCAUGAUGUAAAAUUGUAAAUGCAAAUCUUAAUUGGUGAUUUUUU
rnacentral:lncRNA from 1 species